CAAGAGAACACCGCGGAAUAGUGACAGUGACCCUCCCCGCCUUCAGGAGCGUGGCGUUGAAGGUCUAAGAAAUUUAUUGUCGAAGAACGCGUUAGCCCAGUCACACGUACCGCUGAAUCCAAAUGCAGCGUCAUUUGUUCCUCGCGUACUGAGAGCACCGGACCUACCUACGAAACAAGCGUCAGAUGGUGAUGUUGGAGCAUCAACUGGGUCACAGCCAUCAAGUCUAACUUCUACCAUAUCCUCGAGACAACUCCAGUCUGCGGGGAAUGCUCGUUGUCGUCUCCCGCCAAAAGGACCCGGAAGAUGCCGAGCACAGCCUCCAAACAUGGCUGGUGCUGGGAAUGGUGGAGCAUCAACAGGGCCGCCUACUACCGCAUAUGGACGAAUGACGUUGACUCCCACCGACCAACCUGGAUCUAAGCAGAAGAUGAGGGAUAGUGAUAGUGAUUCGUUGCAGAGUGCCUCAUUUCCAUCGAGUGAGUCGCCGUCCCUUCAGGCCAGAAAGAA